ACAGCAGUAGCCGCGGUAAUACAGAGGGUGCGAGCGUUAAUCGGAUUUACUGGGCGUAAAGCGUGCGUAGGCGGCUUCUUAAGUCGGAUGUGAAAUCCCCGAGCUUAACUUAGGAAUUGCAUUCGAUACUGGGAAGCUAGAGUAUGGGAGAGGAUGGUAGAAUUCCAGGUGUAGCGGUGAAAUGCGUAGAGAUCUGGAGGAAUACCGAUGGCGAAGGCAGCCAUCUGGCCUAAUACUGACGCUGAGGUACGAAAGCAUGGGGAGCAAACAGGAUUAGAUACCCCCGUAGUCCCUGUCUCUUAUAC
rnacentral:rRNA from 1 species